GGCUCAGUGGUCUAGUGGUAUGAUUCUCGCUUUGCGUGCGAGAGGCCAUGGAGCAGAUUCCAGUCUGAGCCC
rfam:Nematostella vectensis strain CH2 x CH6 NEMVEscaffold_330_Cont24021, whole genome shotgun sequence.